AAGGAAUUGACGGGGGCCCGUCUGCGGUGGAGCAUGUGGUUUAAUUCGAAGCAACGCGAAGAACCUUACCAGGUCUUGACAUCCUUCGCUACUUCUAGAGAUAGAAGGUUCCCCUUCGGGGAACGAAGUGACAGGUGGUGCAUGGUUGUCGUCAGCUCGUGUCGUGAGAUGUUGGGUUAAGUCCCGCAACGAGCGCAACCCUUGAUCUUAGUUGCCAGCAUUCAGUUGGGCACUCUAAGGUGACUGCCGGUGACAAACCGGAGGAAGGUGGGGAUGACGUCAAAUCAUCAUGCCCCUUAUGACCUGGGCUACACACGUGCUACAAUGGAUGGUACAAAAGGGCUGCAAGACCGCGAGGGUCAAGCCAAAUCCCAUAAAACCAUUCUCAGUUCGGAUUGCAGGCUGCAACUCGCCUGCAUGAAAGCCGGAAUCGCUUAGUAAUCGCGGAUCAGCAUGCCGCGGUGAAUACGGUUCCCCGGGCCUUGUACACACCGCCCGUCACACCACGAGAGUUUGUAACACCCCGAAGUCGGUGGGGUAACCGUAAGGAGCCAGCCGCCUAAGGUGGGACAGAUGAUUGGGGGUGAAGUCGUAACAAGGUAAC
rnacentral:rRNA from 2 species